CAGAAAGUAGUUUAUUAAAAUAAUAACAUUGGAAGUUAUAGAUUAAAUAUAUUAUUUACUUUUUGA
rnacentral:tRNA from 1 species